rnacentral:rRNA from 1 species
UACGAAGGGGGCUAGCGUUGUUCGGAUUUACUGGGCGUAAAGCGCACGUAGGCGGAUCGUUAAGUCGGGGGUGAAAUCCUGGAGCUCAACUCCAGAACUGCCUUCGAUACUGGCGAUCUUGAGUCCGGAAGAGGUGAGUGGAACUCCUAGUGUAGAGGUGAAAUGCGUAGAUAUCGGGAGGAACACCUGUGGCGAAAGCGGCUCACUGGACCACAACUGACGCUGAGGCGCGAAAGCGUGGGGAGCAAACAGG